rnacentral:rRNA from 1 species
UCUCAGGAAAAGAAUUUUAGUCCAACCUAAAGCUGCCUCAUUAUACUUAAAUAUAAAUUCAACUUUAGAGCAACUCAAAUAAGGUACAGCCUAUUUGAAUCAGGAAACAACCUUCACCAAUGGGUAAACAAUAUCUGCAUUACAACUAAGUAGGCCUAAAAGCAGCCACCUUUUAAAAAGCGUUAAAACUUAAAUUCACGCAACAACAAAUAACCUACCCCAUACUGACCCCUUCAAUUGUACUGAGUAUUUCUAUAUUAUUAUAGAACCUUUUAUGUUAAAACUAGUAACAAGAAGUAACACUUCUCUUUAAUGUAAACGUAAGUCAGUAAGGACCCACCACUGACUAUUAACAAUUCACAAUAGCAACUUCACUAGAAAAUCCUAUUAUGUAUACUUUAUUGUUAACCUAACACAAGAACAUCUCAAGACAGAUUGAAAGAAUAAAGAAGGAACUCGGCAAACCACUAACCCCGCCUGUUUACCAAAAACAUCGCCUCUUGUAAUUAUAAGAGGUCCAGCCUGCCCAGUGACUUUUGUUUAACGGCCGCGGUAUCCUAACCGUGCGAAGGUAGCGUAAUCACUUGUUUUUUAAAUAAAGACUAGUAUGAAUGGCAUCACGAGGGUUAUACUGUCUCCUUUUUCCAAUCAGUGAAACUAAUCUCCCCGUGAAGAAGCGGGGAUAAUGCCAUAAGACGAGAAGACCCUAUGGAGCUUUAAACUUAACAGCACUUGCAACUACUAAAAAUACCCCUAAACGCAUCUUGCUGAAAGUUUUAGGUUGGGGUGACCGCGGAGAAAAACUAAUCCUCCCCAUUGUAACAGAUUAUUCUUAAGUGAAAAGCCACAACUUGAUACAUCAACACUAUUGACAUCCAUUGACCCAGUAUUCUGAUCAACGAACUAAGUUACCCUAGGGAUAACAGCGCUAUCCAUUUUGAGAGUUCCUAUCGACAAAUGGGCUUACGACCUCGAUGUUGGAUCAGGGUAUCCUAGUGGUGUAGCCGCUACUAAUGGUUCGUUUGUUCAACGAUUAAAACCCC